AAUACGCAAAACUAUGGAACGAACAUCCCUUGUUAGUUAAGGGAGAGCCUUGAGCUUUUUCUGUUUCAGACUUUCAGUAGUGAAAGAAAAUACUAGAAAAUAGAACUGUAUGCUGAUUUUUAAGAUAGAAUCUCUGUUUUCCCGAGAAUAAUGUUUGAGGGAUUCUGACAUUAUUUUGUGGUGGUAUCAGGACUUGAAUCAGCCAACUUUGAUAAUGUUAAGCUAAGCAUGUUGUUCUGUGGUGAAAUCAAGCUCGAGUUCAGCAACUUUUGUCAGAUGAUUAUAGGAAGCCCUCUGAGGUAGUCAAAUUUUACGGUAGAACCAUCAAUUUAAGUAUUUCCCAUUCUUUGAGUGUAUGGGAUAUUUAUUGCCGCAGCGCAAAAUAGUGUUCUUUACAGUAGUAGCGUAUACAGACACAAAUGGAAGAUAUUGUGAUUUGUGACUCUAAGUUCACUGUUGUGUUUGAUUUUUUUGAGUAUUAAUAAUGAUUUUUCAUUUUCCUUACAGUAAA